CUCCAGAAUCGCGUAUUGAGGUUGGUUUCAUAAGUUCCAUGGAAAUAUAUAGUUUUUUCCCCUCGUUGAUUUGUUACUGCGCUGUACUAGGAAGAGAGCAGGGGGUGUUGUAAGCAGCGCGCCACACAGCCCAGCGCGGUAAUCGGCUCAGCGCGGCGGUGGUGGGGGUACAGAAGCUACCCGUCCAAGAUGACGCCACCACGAGCCAAGCGCUGUGCCGUUCCUCAUUCCAACUGCUUAUCUGGCGCGGGACAUCUUGCCACGUACACAUCUCAGAGGAAGUGUCAAGUGAAGCAGCCUCGACCACAGUGGAUAUCUAGCAUUGCGCCCGGUGUGAACAGACCCAUGGCAACCACUCUGGUGCCUCGUGUGCCUCGCCUCCCUGUGUGAAGCGGCCUUCAGGCAACUCUCCUUCAUAUCAUUUGUUGCAGUUCCCUAAGGAGUUGAAGGAAAAUAAUGUUUGUUUUUGUGGACCAAACUCACCAUUGGAGGUAGUCCAUGCUGCCAAACCAUCACGGGAGAGACGAGGAGUUGGCGGAAUGUUGUUUGAUGAUCUUUAGGACGCAGAGCCAGAGAAGACGUUUGGGUUUGUGAGGGACUGUGCUGAAGCUGUCAUUCCUUCCUAUCUACCCCUGGUCAAGAAUCACAAGAACAAUGCUGUGUCGGAGGCAGAGCGGUGUUGGCGACUGCUGCGUUGAGGGAGGUACAUGGAGUUCAACUUGGUGUACCAGUGAGGCACCAAGUUUGGAUUUGCCACGCCCAACGCCAAGAUUGAAAGUAUCUUGAUGUCCCCUUCAUGUGGUUGUGUCAAGAUAUGGAGGGAGAAAGAACAGCCAAGGAGGAGGAGGGAGAGGUACAGGAAGAUAACAAGAAGAAGAAGAAAAAGAAGAAAGAAUGAAUGAAGAGAAAAAAAGAAAAAGGAAAGUCAAGCCAAGAGUCCCUGAAUGCUGUGAAGGAGACACUGCUGCUGGAACACUGCACCUCCAAGCCAAGCCAAGCCACAACACAACACAAGCCUUCUACAACACCUACAGCCAUCAGCAACACCCAGAGUACAAGACAACACCUGGAGCCAUGAAGAACAG